rnacentral:rRNA from 1 species
UACAGAGGGGGCCAGCGUUAUUCGGAAUUAUUGGGCGUAAAGGGCGCGUAGGCGGCCAUGCGUGUCUUCCGUGAGAUCCCUCGGCUCAACCGAGGACGUGCGGAAGAAACUGCAAGGCUCGAGUCCGGAAGAGGGGGGCGGAAUUCCCAGUGUAGCGGUGAAAUGCGUAGAUAUUGGGAGGAACACCAGUGGCGAAGGCGGUCCCCUGGGCCGGAACUGACGCUGAGGCGCGAAAGCGUGGGUAGCAAACGGG